GCCCUCUGGAACCGGAGCGCUGAGGCACUGCGGGUAGCGCAGCGCUGCGUGCCCUUCUGCAGAGGAGUUCCUCAGCACGUGCUGCUCCUUGGAAAUGCGGAGUAACGCCAUAAGACGGCCCUGUCUUUUGGCUAGCUCUGGUGCACGUUAAACCACGCCGUGUAUUACAGUGUCCUUUCGUUGCGUCAUCUUAGGGGCAAGUGUGAUCAGGACUGGUGUGCAUGUGCCCUUAUGUACCUAACACAGCAUCUCACAGCCAGCUCUAGAUCACUACCAAAAAACGUACUGUGCACUGCAGUGUACAGAACUCCUUGGAUCUUCUGCAUUUUUUGGGCACAAGUUUUAACAUUCUCCUCGUAAAUAAUGCUGAUAGACAACAUGCAGUUUCCUCAGUUUCCACGGGCUGAAACAACCAGAGUUUCUGAAAUUCACUUUCCCUCAUGUGAAGCUGGAAAUCAAGGGGUGUAGCACACUGUGCACCUUUAAUGAGCUUUCCAACUAAAAAUACAUUUAGCAAAGUAAAAGGGAGUGAUACAAUUUUUUAGUUGCUCCUAAAGGGCUUCUGCCAUUUCUGGACUCACAAAAGGUGCUUUUGUGAGCUGUGAACAGCUUGGAAAACUCAGCCAAGAGAGCCCCUGGACUGCUCACCAGGCUGCUGAAACCCACUGGGUCUUCCAUACUAUCUUGCCGAAAAGGAGUCCUGAGGGUAUUUUACUUCUGAGUCUCAUAAAUUAAGACUUAAGCAAUCAGAUACAUAAAGCAUUUGUAAUGCUUCCAACUUGGUCCUUGGUGAUGACGCCAGGGGCAGCUUAACUUCAGUGUGAUACACACCUUGAAGAUCUUUUCCACCUGGACCUGAUGGCUCCAUGCAAUAAAGAGGUUGAUGCUGACAUGCUGGAAAGAGGAAGCGCCCACGUGGGAGACACUGUAAGGGCAGCUCUGAGUGACUGAACCCUGAAACAGCCGUACUGUGCAUCAGGCAAGAAGAAUCAGACCAGACAGUUCAGACUACACAAACACUCCUGGUUUACCCAAGCCUUUGGAUACCUACAAAGAAAGCAUACAGACAAGAACAUAUCUUGAGCUUGUGACUGCUGAAGCAAUCCAAAGAUAAAUAUUGUGAAGAUGGCGGGUGUCAAUGAAAAUAACUUUCAUAUUCAGAUGGCACAUCCCUGGGAAGGACCGUAAGCACUGAGAACCGAGACUGGUCUUGACAAGGUCAAGAAAGAAUCUGAAAAGAAAUAAGAUGCAAUUUCGUCAGGAUAAAUGCGAGCUUCUGUGUCAAAGCAGAAAAAAGCCUCUCUGCAAAGACUGAAAAAUGAUUGCCUUUGUUGUAGCUCGGCCACAGAGGAGCUGAGAGGACACAGUUUCAAGCAAUGCUUGAGUCAGCAAGCAUGCUGUUGCAAAACCCAGCACAUUGAGUAUAUAAAAUCUUAAAUUGUUUGUGAUGCUUUUGCUUGCGGCUGGUAAGAUGGCAACACAUGUAUGUUUCCUCAUCUUAGAUUUUCUGUGUUCAAGAAAGAGAUCAGAAGGAGCCUAAAGAAAGAAUCAGCAAGAGCAUGGUAAGGGCUGUGGAAGGCUUUACAAAUGCCUAGAAGAGCAGACAACAGUCUUUAAUUAUGUAAAGAGCUGCAAGCAAGAAAGGAAACAAACCGUUUCCAUAACUCCUCUUGAGAACAUGGCCUGUAAGACUAAAAGAGACAGCAUAAGAAUGUAGCAUGAGAAAUGCAGGUUGGAGAGGAGGAAAGGUAUCCAACAGUAAGCAGCGUGAACCAAUGAAACAGCUAAUCUAGGGAGGCUGUGAAUAUCCAUCACUGGAGGUUUUAAGAAAUCUUUUCAUAUCAUUUAAAUGGAAGAAACACAGAUGCCUGUGUGCUGUGUGGACUCUGAAACAUACUUGUAGACACCUUCGUAACAGCAGAUUUAAGUUUACUGUCAGAUACUUCCUUUGAGCCAUUCUUCAACCUGAGUUCCAGCCAGGUUGAAGACCAAUGUGUGGAAGGGGGCUGGUUUAGCUAAUCUUUGCCUAGGGGGCCACUGUUGAUGUUCUCUCAAGGUCCUUGCCAACUCCAUCGCAAUACAGCCUAUUAAACAUUCCCUUGUUCUCCUCACCCUUAGGUUUCUUGGUCCUUCUUCCAUGAUGGGACACUGAGAUGGAGUUGUCACACAACUUGUGAGAUGCCAUUCAAGAUCACAAAAACAAAUCUAUUUUACAACUCAGCAUCUUUCACAAGAAGACAUUACACCAGUAGAGUUUAUACAAAACAGCAGAGAAAAAAAAUAUUGGAAAACUAAGUAUCAGAAAGCGCCAGAAUUAAGGACACAGUAACCUUAAAUUCUGA